CAGCCAUACCAGAUAGGGAGAAUUACAAUUAUGACCAAGUCAAAGAAGCCCUGUUGACCCGCUCUGCAGUCACCCAUGAAGCCUCCUGCAGGAGGUUCAGGGAAUUGAAGAAAAGCAAAAGAGAAUCAUACACAGAGUAGGUGUCUCGUCUCCACCAAACUGCCUCUCACAGGGUAUCCGUAUGCAAAGCUGUCUCGGUUGAGGAUAUCCUACAGCUCAUAUUCUUCAAACAGUUUUAUAAUGUGAUUAACCCUGAACUCUGGGAAUGGAUCCAAGACAGACUACCUCUUAUCCUGCGUGAAGCCGCUCGGUUGGCUGAUGAAUAUAUCGACACCAGGAAAAC